GACGAACGCUGGCGGCGUGCUUAACACAUGCAAGUCGAGCGGUAAGGCCCUUUCGGGGGUACACGAGCGGCGAACGGGUGAGUAACACGUGGGUGACCUGCCCUCAGCUCUGGGAUAAGCCUGGGAAACUGGGUCUAAUACUGGAUAUGACUCCACGGUGCAUGUCGUGGGGUGGAAAGCCUUGUGCGGCUGAGGAUGGGCCCGCGGCCUAUCAGCUUGUUGGUGGGGUGANGGCCUACCAAGGCGACGACGGGUAGCCGGCCUGAGAGGGCGACCGGCCACACUGGGACUGAGACACGGCCCAGACUCCUACGGGAGGCAGCAGUGGGGAAUCUUGCGCAAUGGGCGAAAGCCCUGACGCAGCGACGCCGCGUG
rnacentral:rRNA from 1 species